CUUGUCGUUCCUAUGAGACGAGUGAGUGCGCGUAACGGAUCUUAUAUAUUGUAUUACCAGACGGCGGCGGCGUCGUCGAACCGCGGGGAAAGGUGCGCGCGUGUAUUAUCUCCGGCGGCGGCGUUGUACACGCGUAUAAUACAGUACGGAUUACGCGCGCGCGCCCGCACGGAUCGGGACGGCAGCGGCGUACGCACACAUUAUACAGAUAAGAAGCCGGUCGGCCGAGAACUCGGGACGACGACGACGUGCCAACUGCCAAGUACAACAGUCGCCGCGCGUACGCGUACCACGCGGUAAUUGCAACUAAGGCGCGGCGGCGGCGUACCUUCGACGUACACAGUGACGCGUGCGGUAAAAUAUUAUUAUUAUUAUAUUUGAAAUAUCUAUAAUAAUUAAUAAUAUUUUCGUGGUAGUUUUUGUUAUUUGUAUUGCCGUUGUACGGGUAUCGGCGGCUGUUACCAUGAUUUGUAUACCGCACGUGGCGGCUGCACACAGUCCAAUGGACACGUUCGUUUUGCAGUAGACUACAACUGUAUAAUAUUUAGGUACCGGCAGCGGUAACCAAGAAAGUACCAACUAGAUCCAAUUAACUACGAAAACCCUCCUCAAAGUUGAAAAUUGAAGCAUAUUUACUACUUUAAAAAGUGACGACAGAU